rnacentral:rRNA from 1 species
GUGUCAGCCGCCGCGGUAAGACGAGGUGCACAAACGUUAUUCGGAUUUACUGGGCUUAAAGCGUGCGUAGGCGGCCUGGCAAGUUGGGUGUGAAAUCCCUCGGCUCAACCGAGGAAUUGCGCCCAAAACUGCUGGGCUGGAGUGAGACAGAGGUGAGCGGAACUGAUGGUGGAGCGGUGAAAUGCGUUGAUAUCAUCAGGAACACCGGUGGCGAAGGCGGCUCACUGGGUCUCUACUGACGCUGAGGCACGAAAGCUAGGGGAGCAAACGGGAUUAGAUACCCUCGUAGUCC